rnacentral:tRNA from 1 species
UGGAUCACCUCCUAACAGGGAAACAACACAAUGAUUUUGAUGCCUGAGUGCUUUUAUUCUUAGGCCGAAAUCCUGUCACCUUAGGUCGAUCGGUACCUCAGCUUUGAAGUUAAGGAUCAGCAGCAAUGUUGAUCGCUUGAUGGAGAUUUUCAGUUCUUAAACUUUGUCUAGGUCACACCCCAAAAGGGAUGAGAUUCCUGGGCCAUUAGCUCAGGUGGUUAGAGCGCACCCCUGAUAAGGGUGAGGUCCCUGGUUCAAGUCCAGGAUGGCCCAUUCGGUGUUGGGGGUUUAGCUCAGUUGGUAGAGCGCCUGCUUUGCAAGCAGGAUGUCAGGAGUUCGAGUCUCCUAACCUCCACUGACCGAACUUGAUUCCCAUCUCCAAUUUUUUUGGAGUUGAGCUCGAUUGGAGUGUGAUUUAGAUGUGUCCGCUGGAUGACCCCAGCUUCCUGUCAUUCCAAGUUUUAGGUUGAAGCCUUGAAUUUGGUUGAUAAGAUGCUGGGCUCGAAUCAAGUGAUCAGUAAUUGAUGAUUUGAUUUGAAUUUCUAGCAGAACCUUGACAACUGCAUAGGUGAGUCUGGAAAAAACAAAGCAUCUUACAGAUGCAUUGUUUUGAAUCUGAUCUUCUGAAAGGGAGAUUGGAUCUAGAACAAUGAAAAUUCUUUUGAGCAAGAGCCGAGACUCUUAAACGUUCUUUGAUCCGUGUCGAGCGAAUCAGAGUUUGAUCUUGUUUUUAGCAAUAAAAACUUGAGAAUCUGCUUUCAACUGUGGUAAGCGUUUAGGAGAUUAAUUGGUCAAGCUACAAAGGGCUCACGGCGGAUACCUUGGCACACAGAGGCGAUGAAGG